rnacentral:rRNA from 1 species
GCCAAUUAAUUUAACUUGGGAGUCAGAACAUGGGUGAUAAGGUCCGUGUUCGAAAGGGAAACAGCCCAGACCACCAGCUAAGGUCCCAAAAUAUAUGUUAAGUGGAAAAGGAUGUGGCGUUGCCCAGACAACUAGGAUGUUGGCUUAGAAGCAGCCAUCAUUUAAAGAGUGCGUAAUAGCUCACUAGUCGAGUGACACUGCGCCGAAAAUGUACCGGGGCUAAACAUAUUACCGAAGCUGUGGAUUGUCCUUUGGACAAUGGUAGGAGAGCGUUCUAAGGGCGUUGAAGCAUGAUCGUAAGGACAUGUGGAGCGCUUAGAAGUGAGAAUGCCGGUGUGAGUAGCGAAAGACGGGUGAGAAUCCCGUCCACCGAUUGACUAAGGUUUCCAGAGGAAGGCUCGUCCGCUCUGGGUUAGUCGGGUCCUAAGCUGAGGCCGACAGGCGUAGGCGAUGGAUAACAGGUUGAUAUUCCUGUACCACCUAUAAUCGUUUUAAUCGAUGGGGGGACGCAGUAGGAUAGGCGAAGCGUGCGAUUGGAUUGCACGUCUAAGCAGUAAGGCUGAGUAUUAGGCAAAUCCGGUACUCGUUAAGGCUGAGCUGUGAUGGGGAGAAGACAUUGUGUCUUCGAGUCGUUGAUUUCACACUGCCGAGAAAAGCCUCUAGAUAGAAAAUAGGUGCCCGUACCGCAAACCGACACAGGUAGUCAAGAUGAGAAUUCUAAGGUGAGCGAGCGAACUCUCGUUAAGGAACUCGGCAAAAUGACCCCGUAACUUCGGGAGAAGGGGUGCUCUUUAGGGUUAACGCCCAGAAGAGCCGCAGUGAAUAGGCCCAAGCGACUGUUUAUCAAAAACACAGGUCUCUGCUAAACCGUAAGGUGAUGUAUAGGGGCUGACGCCUGCCCGGUGCUGGAAGGUUAAGAGGAGUGGUUAGCUUCUGCGAAGCUACGAAUCGAAGCCCCAGUAAACGGCGGCCGUAACUAUAACGGUCCUAAGGUAGCGAAAUUCCUUGUCGGGUAAGUUCCGACCCGCACGAAAGGCGUAACGAUUUGGGCACUGUCUCAACGAGAGACUCGGUGAAAUCAUAGUACCUGUGAAGAUGCAGGUUACCCGCGACAGGACGGAAAGACCCCGUGGAGCUUUACUGUAGCCUGAUAUUGAAAUUCGGCACAGCUUGUACAGGAUAGGUAGGAGCCUUUGAAACGUGAGCGCUAGCUUACGUGGAGGCGCUGGUGGGAUACUACCCUAGCUGUGUUGGCUUUCUAACCCGCACCACUUAUCGUGGUGGGAGACAGUGUCAGGCGGGCAGUUUGACUGGGGCGGUCGCCUCCUAAAAGGUAACGGAGGCGCUCAAAGGUUCCCUCAGAAUGGUUGGAAAUCAUUCAUAGAGUGUAAAGGCAUAAGGGAGCUUGACUGCGAGACCUACAAGUCGAGCAGGGUCGAAAGACGGACUUAGUGAUCCGGUGGUUCCGCAUGGAAGGGCCAUCGCUCAACGGAUAAAAGCUACCCCGGGGAUAACAGGCUUAUCUCCCCCAAGAGUUCACAUCGACGGGGAGGUUUGGCACCUCGAUGUCGGCUCAUCGCAUCCUGGGGCUGUAGUCGGUCCCAAGGGUUGGGCUGUUCGCCCAUUAAAGCGGUACGCGAGCUGGGUUCAGAACGUCGUGAGACAGUUCGGUCCCUAUCCGUCGUGGGCGUAGGAAAUUUGAGAGGAGCUGUCCUUAGUACGAGAGGACCGGGAUGGACAUACCUCUGGUGUACCAGUUGUCGUGCCAACGGCAUAGCUGGGUAGCUAUGUGUGGACGGGAUAAGUGCUGAAAGCAUCUAAGCAUGAAGCCCCCCUCAAGAUGAGAUUUCCCAACUUCGGUUAUAAGAUCCCUCAAAGAUGAUGAGGUUAAUAGGUUCGAGGUGGAAGCAUGGUGACAUGUGGAGCUGACGAAUACUAAUCGAUCGAAGACUUAAUCAA